rnacentral:rRNA from 1 species
UACGUAGGGUGCGAGCGUUGUCCGGAAUUACUGGGCGUAAAGAGCUCGUAGGUGGUUUGUCGCGUUGUUCGUGAAAACUCACAACUCAAUUGUGGGCGUGCGGGCGAUACGGGCAGACUGGAGUACUGCAGGGGAGACUGGAAUUCCUGGUGUAGCGGUGGAAAUGCGCAGAUAUCAGGAGGAACACCGGUGGCGAAGGCGGGUCUCUG